UACAAGUAUCGAUACUUUUCUCCUAAACCUUGGUAUCGAUAGUAUCGAAUAUUUGGUAUCGGUAUCGGUCCAUUCCUAACGAAAUCAUGUAAUAUAUACGUAAGAGGCUAAUUUGGACGUGCUAAAGCUUACGGUUACAGCGUUUGUUACAGCUUCCGGUGUGAACGUAUUCAUUGCUGUCGAAACAUUACCUUUGAAGUAUCUCUUCCUUGAAAUACCAAAUCUGUAAGUUGUGCUUCGAUACAACUGCAACUUGUUCACCCUGAAUAAAUGAUAAGAAUGUUCCCGAUAUGACGUCAAAUCAGGAGCUUCUCCCCAGUUUCUUCAAUGUCACUAGGGCUUAGGAAAAUGUGCGAAGAUCAAAUCUUGCAGUUACAAAAUAUAUUAUCAAUAUAUUUUGCACGUCACAACUUAUCAAUUGCAACAUACACAGAAAGGGGAAGCAAUCACGUAUACAAAUUUCUCUAUCAUUUUCACCGGCGUUUACUAAGUGACAUGUACGUGUAUUUGACUGCCGUCGUACAAAACAUGGAGGACUGAAUAAAAAACCACAAAACUAAGGUUGCUCAUCCUCAUCUCAACUUUAAAAUAGUAACUGGUGUCAACGUUUUAGCAAAUUAAUAAUUUGUAAGAAAUAGAAAAAAUUUCCGUGUUUGAAUAGAGUUAUACAAACUACUAGAGAUGUGGAAAUAGUUCUCUCUUGUUUGAGUAAUACACAUUGUAAUAAAGAAAAAAUUUAAAAAAAGGGCGUAUGUAGUUCAAUUACAAAUGUAUUUUUACACACUUCAAUGGGCUUGAGUUAAAUUUGGCUUUUGCGGAAUCGAUCAACUCAAAAAAUUGUAAAAAAGGACUUUUGAAAUUGGACAAGAAAUUUACCUGUUGGUCAAAAAAUCUCCUAAACGAAAAGAUAAAAAGAAUAAAUACCACAGGCCAGACAAUUACAAAAAGGACUGUUCGUGGUGAACCUCUUGAAUCUAUUUUGAGCUACUUGGAUGAAUUAAAAGAGUAAGAACAUAUUUGAGAUAAAGCACCACUGAUCGCAGAUUUAAUCAUCUUCUGAUGCUUCAUGUAGAUCUUGGAAAAAGAAUGGUUAACAUACCUACACUUUGUUCAUCAAACACUGAACAAAAAAUAAUUACUGUUGAACAGCAUGUUGGCGGUUGUUCUCAGCAUAGGACUGGUUUCGGGGCUCAGCUGGUGAGGAAAAUGGAUCGUAUGCAUCGCGGCUUAAUCGCAUCAGAUUAUACAACCAAUGAUAACAUCUUCUCGAUUAACGCACGUAUAACCCAGAGAAAACUAAUCAAACGUAUUAAAAUAUAUAAUGGAUACAAUAUGAAUUAUGGAUAUUCAACUGUAUAAAAAUCAAAACUAAUAGUAAUGAUCCAGCCAAAACCUUUCUACCAACAAUCAUGCUCACAAAUACAUGUCACAUAACUAAGAAAAUUGAUGAACUACAUGAAGUUGUCAUGAAUAAUGGUCCUGAAGUUGUACUGGUUGCAGAAUCCUGGCUUUCCCCAAAUAUACCAGACACAGCAAUAUCAAUCAAUGAUGAAUACAAAAUUUUUCGUAAAGACAAACCCACCCUUGGUGGAGAAGUUCUUUCCAAUGUACAUCGAAGAAUACCUGUUAGUCGUAAGUUAUUUGAUGAAGACAAUGAUAAAGAGGUGCUAUGGUUAGUACUUAAACCAACAAGAACGCCUCGCCCAUUUAAUGCAAUUGUUAUUGUCAUUAUUUAUCAUCCACCUGGACAAAGUGACGAAAAAGAACAUGAUGUGAUUAAAUAUCUCAUCAAAAAUUUAAUUCAGUUUUUAUGUGAACGUCCAUCCUCUGCAAUUAUAGUUGCUGAAGACUUCAAUAGAUUAAACUUGACUAAUCUAUGUAAUUGUUUCAAUUUAAAAAAAAUCUAUCCUAUACCCAACCAGAGGAAAAAACGUUUUGGAUCAAGUCUUGACGAAUAUGCGAGAUAUGUAGAAACCAACAGACCAUCUACCACCAUUGGGACGUUCUGAUCACCAAUGCCUUCUAUUAGUGCCAAAACAGAAAGAAAAAACACCAACAAUUUCCAGAAGGGUAAGACUCUUAACAACUGGAAAUGUAAAUGUCUUAUGCAGAAGACUUAUUCUUGAAAAUUGGUCGGAGAUCUUUGAUGUAGAGAAUGUAGAUCAAAAAGUAGACGCCUUUACAUGGACGAUGUUUAGUAUUAUGGAUGAAACUAUUCCUGAAAAAUACAGUACGAAUGCACACUUCAGAUAAACCUUGGAUGACAAGCUCUAUAUAAUCAAAGAUCAAAGCCAGAAAACGUGCUUUCUCUUGUAAUAAUCAAGCACGUUAUGAAAAACUAUGUUCUGAUGUCUCAGAACUUAUAAACAACGCCAAAAUUUCAUAUUACAAACGAAAAGCAAGACUUUCGUACGACUAACCCAAAAAGAUGGUAUAAAUCAAUCUUCUCAAUGUUGGGAAUUAAUAACGGGAAUAAUGUAAAAAGAAAUGUCUAUGAUAAAAAUGUACUAGAACUAGCUGAAAAAUUACAACAAGUCUUAACAAAACCUUGGAAAAACCAAUUACCCAACUACGAAAUUGAAGAUAACUUGAUCAACCAAACGCUCAAGGAUAUCAAACCUCAUUUACCAUCUAUUGGACAGGUCAAGAGCUGUCUACAGCACCUAAAUCCUAGAAAAGCAACAUGAGAUGACAAAAUUCCGGCAUGGAUGCUUAAGCAUUUUUGCGAAGAUCUUGCACCAGUCGUACACAAUAUAGUAACCACAAGUAUAAAACAAUGCAAGUACCCCAACCAAUAUAAACAUGCACUAAUAACUCCAGUUGCUAAAGUGAAUAAUCCAAGUAAUGUUGAAACUGACUUCAGACCUAUAUCUGUCCUUCCUCAAAUGGCUAAAGUAAUAGACAAACUUCAACUCCAUUAGAAUAAAUCAGAUUUCAAAAUAAAGAAUAACCAACAUGCUUUUACUCAUGGCCGAUCUUCUGUAUCUGCUUCAUAUCUAUGACACAAAAUUAGUAUAAUGCAAGAGAUAAUUCUCAAUCAGGAAGAAAGGGAGUUAAGGUAUUAUUUAUAGAUUUUCGAAAGGCAUUUGACAUGGUGAAUCACAACAUAUUACUACAAAAAUUAGCAUCUAUGGAAAUUAAUAAAUCUUUCUGGCAAUGGAUUCAAAGUUUUUUGACAGGAAGAAUGUAACAAGUCAAUCUACAAGGAGCCAUGGCAUCCAUUCAACCUUGCCCUUUGGGCGUGCCACAAAGCGCUGUCAUAUCACCAGUGCUCUUUAAUGCAUAUAUAAAUGAUUUAAAGGACAAUAUUCCUAAAGAAAUUGAUGCUAAUACAUGUAAAUAAGCAGAUGAUUGCACUCAGGACCAGAUUGUCGAAAGAGGUGAAUGCAGUUAUAUGCAAAAAGUAAUCGAC